rnacentral:rRNA from 1 species
AUUGAACGCUGGCGGCAGGCCUAACACAUGCAAGUCGAGCGGCUGCACGGUGCUUGCUCCUGGAUUCAGCGGCCGACGGGCGAGCAAUGCCUAGGUACAUGCCUGGUAGUGUGGGAUAACGUCCGGACACAGGCGCUCAUACCGCAUACGUCCUGAGGGCGUACGUGUGGGAUCAUCGGACCUUCCGCCCUCAGAUGAGCGGAGGUCGGAUUAGCUAGUUGGUGGGGUAAAGGCCUACCAAGGCGACGAUCCGUAACUGGUCUGAGAGGAUGAUCAGUCACACUGGAACUGAGACACGGUCCAGACUCCUACGGGAGGCAGCAGUGGGGAAUAUUGGACAAUGGGCGAAAGCCUGAUCCAGCCAUGCCGCGUGUGUGAAGAAGGUCUUCGGAUUGUAAAGCACUUUAGUUGGGGAGGAAGAGCAGUAAGUUAAUACCUUGCUGUUUUGACGGUACCAACAGAAUAAGCACCGGCUAACUUCGUG